GCAAGUCGAACGAGCGAUGUAGAAGUGGCAACACUUUUACAAAGCUAGUGGCGAACGGGUGAGUAACGCGUAGGUAAUCUGCCUUGGAGAUUGGGACAACCAUUCGAAAGAAUGGCUAAUACCAAAUACCUUAUAUUAAUCGCAUGAUUUUUAUAAUAAAGGGGGCUUUUAGCUCUCGCUUCAAGAUGAACCUGCGUCCUAUUAGCUUGUUGGUGAGGUAAAAGCUCACCAAGGCAACGAUGGGUAGCCGGCCUGAGAGGGUGAUC
rnacentral:rRNA from 1 species